GACAUAGGGCGCGAGCGUUGUCCGGAUUUAUUGGGCGUAAAGAGCUCGUAGGCGGCUUGUCGCGUCGUCUGUGAAAUCCCGUGGCUCAACUGCGGGCUGGCAGUCGAUACGGGCAGGCUGGAGUUCGGUAGGGGAGACUGGAAUUCCUGGUGUAGCGGUGAAAUGCGCAGAUAUCAGGAGGAACACCGGUGGCGAAGGCGGGUCUCUGGGCCGAUACUGACGCUGAGGAGCGAAAGCGUGGGGAGCGAACAGG
rnacentral:rRNA from 1 species